GUUAGGUGAAAGAGGUUCAGAUGACAAAAAAAUAAAUAAUAAUACUAAUAAAAUAAAUAAUUACAUAUAAUUAAGAAAAUUAAAAAUAGAAAUGUGUGUUAUUACAAUAAAAUGACAAAUAAAUAAAUAAAUAAAAUGCAGAAUUAUUUCCACUGUGGUUCUUCAGGAAAGGCCCACUUCUCCUUAUCUAGACACACCAUGACAGCUCUCUUCCAUUUAUAACAGGUUAAUUUAAAAUAACAUAACGUUACAGUAAGCUAGACAUUAGAAGCUCCUUUCUCCAGCUGAUAAAAUGUGUCAGCAGUUGCUAACUGCAAAGCACACCACAUGAGCAGUUAAUUUUUAACAAGUCCGAAAAAAACAAAUAUAAACAAGCCAAUGAGUUUUUAAGACAGAAAAGGGGUUUGGCCUCGUAAACAGGAAGAGACUAGAGUCAGGUAACCAGAAACCGCGCUUUCAUUCUGUGCAUGAAAGAAACGCGUGAAGUGCGUCGCGGUGGGAGAGGCACAAAGUUUGCAGUGGAUGUUUGAAUAUCGUUUCUUUUACUUUAUGUCAUCAUAACAGCGUUUUGUAUAUCGCUUGGCAUAAGUUUCGAACGAACCGGUUUUAAACGUUGAAUUGAAGCCAUAAAUCCUUCCUUUGCUCUUGGCGAAGCUCCUCAGGUGUUUUGUUCUCCAGCAGAAGACACGCUAAAGUUUGCCGAUCCAUUAGGCGUCGAGACAUCCGAUGCAAACUCUUGCCUACAUUUGAACUAUAUUAGUUCCGCUUUCUGCUUGUUUGUAUAUAAACACUUCAUUACCUAUUCAGAAGGACAUAAGGGCCAGUGCAUCAGGUGAUGUGGAGCAGAAGUGGAAUGUCGGCUGUAUUCAUCUAGAGGUGACGUGGUUUUUAAUGCCUAAAGCCCCAAGGCGCUGUCAGGGUCCGUCAGAACAGGUGCCUCACCAUCUGGGUGUCUUUUGUUACCUGCUUUUUUCCACCUUUGAAUUUGCUUAGUAAACUUCAAGAAUUUACAUUCUGAAUAUAUAAUGUAAUGUUCACAUAAAGUACAAGACACAUACAUUUGACAUGAGUGAUGCGUUCAUGGUUGCACUGUAGGUCAAAAGUUUAGAAUAUGUUUAAUUAUAAUGAUAAUACUGUUUUGGAAAAAACACUUUUGCUCACCAAGGAUGAUUUUUUUUUUUUACUAAAAAUACAGUAAAAUUUUUAUUGUGAAAUUUUAUUUAAAUUCUAAAUAUAUAUAUAUUAUUCCUUUUUUAUGUAUUUUAAAAUGUAAUUUAUUUCUGUGAUGCAAAGCUGAUUUUUCAGCACCAAGCUAACAAUUAGUGUCAGGCACAAGUCAAUACAAUACUUUUCUUUCUGUGGUCACCUAUAAUUUUUUUUUUUGUUUUUUUUUUGUGAUGCUUUUUAAGAUAUCUUAGGGGGCUUCCUAAUUAACAUGUCAACUUUUAGUAACAUCCUUUGCAUUGUGAGCAUGCCUGCAGUAUAAUGCCUUAAAAUGCUACCUACAUAGGCAGCUCACUUCAUUCUGGAAGAAUUUUCUGUAUGUCAACAAUUGACUCUUAUGUGUCUAUUUUUAUUUCUCUUGAGGAAAUUUAGAGGAAACAUCUGAAACAUGUUUAUACUUGACAAAGUGUGCACGUCCACAUAAUUUAACCAAGAACCUCUAAGCAUAUUAUAUUCUUUAAUAUGCCAAAAGUGUGCUAAACAUGCUUUUUAUUUUAUUUUUAUUUUAGCCUAAUUUACAUAGAAAGAAGAUGUGUUUGCAUGAAAAUAAUGACAUUGAUUUUAUUUAAAUUUGCACAGUGCAGUGUUAUACCAGUGCCAGGAAUGUCUGGAUAAACUGGAUUGUGGGUGGUUGGUUAAUAAUAAGAACAUUUUAGUGGUAAAAUGCAGUGCACAAAGUGACGCAGCUGUUUCAUGAAAUCUCCUCAGACUGUUCAAAUGCCCAGUUUAAUUGCAUCAUUAAAAAAGAACAAGAAAAACAUUUGACUGA
ensembl:lncRNA